UACGUAGGUCCCGAGCGUUGUCCGGAUUUAUUGGGCGUAAAGCGAGCGCAGGUGGUUUAUUAAGUCUGGUGUCAAAGGCAGUGGCUCAACCAUUGUAUGCAUUGGAAACUGGUAGACUUGAGUGCAGGAGAGGAGAGUGGAAUUCCAUGUGUAGCGGUGAAAUGCGUAGAUAUAUGGAGGAACACCGGUGGCGAAAGCGGCUCUCUGGACUGUAACUGACACUGAGGCUCGAAAGCGUGGGUAGCAAACAGG
rnacentral:rRNA from 1 species